UACGAAGGGUGCAAGCGUUACUCGGAAUUACUGGGCGUAAAGCGUGCGUAGGUGGUUGUCUAAGUCUGUCGUGAAAGCCCUGGGCUCAACCUGGGAAUUGCGAUGGAUACUGGGCGACUAGAGUGUGGUAGAGGACAGUGGAAUUUCCGGUGUAGCAGUGAAAUGCGUAGAGAUCGGAAGGAACAUCUGUGGCGAAGGCGACUGUCUGGGCCAACACUGACACUGAGGCACGAAAGCGUGGGGAGCAAACAGG
rnacentral:rRNA from 1 species